UACGUAGGGUGCGAGCGUUGUCCGGAAUUAUUGGGCGUAAAGAGCUCGUAGGCGGUCUGUCGCGUCGAUCGUGAAAUCUUGGAGCUUAACUCCGAAACUGCAUUCGAUACUGCCGUGCUUGAGGACUGGAGAGGAGACUGGAAUUUACGGUGUAGCGGUGAAAUGCGUAGAUAUCGUAAGGAAGACCAGUGGCGAAGGCGGGUCUCUGGACAGUUCCUGACGCUGAGGCACGAAGGUCAGGGGGAGCAAACGGG
rnacentral:rRNA from 1 species